AUGGAAGGAGACGGCGACGCUAGGUCGAGAGCGACACUGGCCUGGGAUCUCGGGGUGCAGUGGGCGCCCGCCGCCUCGGCUGCGUACCCGCAGCAUUUCCUGCCGCCGCCGGGGGUGGCUAGCCAGCAGCAGCAGCACAUGCAGCAGGAGCUCACUAGCCUCAAGCUGGGGAAGCGCCCGUGCUCCUUGCCCGGCGGCCAGGUGGCUGUGGCUCAGGUCGACGGGAGCGGAGGCGGCGGCGGGCGUGCCGCGGUGGAGGGCAAGAGGAAGGAGAAGGCGGCCGGGGCGGCGGCAACGGCGGCCAUGCCGAGGUGCCAGGUGGAAGGGUGCCACAUGGCGCUGGCGGGGGCCAAGGAGUACCACCGGCGGCACAAGGUGUGCGAGGCGCACUCCAAGGCGCCCAGGGUCAUCGUGCACGGCGCCGAGCAGCGCUUCUGCCAGCAAUGCAGCCGCUUCCACGCGAUGGCGGAGUUCGACGACGCCAAGCGGAGCUGCCGGCGGCGGCUUGCCGGCCACAACGAGCGGCGCCGGAAGAGCAACGCCAGCGACGCCAUGGCCAGGGGCUCUGCGCACGCACACGGGGUGGCGUCGUUGGUGCACGGCUUCGCGCCGUACGUUGGCCUGCCGACGUCCCCGGCUGGUGCUCUCUCUCUUCUGUCAUCGGCCAGAGCCGCCCCCUGGCUAGUCCCGACGACGCCCGGCGACGCAUUCUCCGCCCGCUCCAGCAGCGCCGCGCUGGACGAGCUCAUCGCCGAGAACCGCGCGGCGCUCCUGGCGUGCCACUUCUUCCCCCAGCGCUCGGCCGCCCGGCCGGCCGCGGCAGAGAUGGCGCCCGCCUGGCACCAAGCGCACCAGCAGGCCCCGCCAGGCCAUGACCAGGGAGCUCCUCUUCCGGCGGGGGCGGGGCACGUCACGCUCGACCUCAUGCAGGCGCCCGGCACGGCGGGCCUGCCGUUCCGGCCCAUGGCGCAGGGCAGGCCAGCCGAGGACGGCGACGCGGGCCGUAGCUCGGGCGUGUGGACGCCCCUGCAGGGCGCCCACGCCGUCUGA
rnacentral:rRNA from 1 species